rnacentral:rRNA from 1 species
CACACACACACACACCUGUGAACUUGUGAGACGGGAAGGGAAAGAAGAGAUUCCUACCUUUCCGUCUACUCAAUCCAUUUACACAAACCCCAAUUGAUAUUUAAACUGAAUGUAAUUGUGAUGUAACACAUCAUUAGAAACUAAGUUUCAACAACGGAUCUCUUGGCUCUCGCAUCGAUGAAGAACGCAGCGAAAUGCGAUAAGUAAUGUGAAUUGCAGAAUUCAGUGAAUCAUCGAAUCUUUGAACGCACCUUGCGCUCCUUGGUAUUCCUUGGAGCAUGCCUGUUUGAGUAUCAUGAAAUUCUCAAAGGCAAUCUUUUUAUUUUAUUUAAAAAGGUUGACUUUGGACUUGGAGGUCUUUUGCAGAUGUUACAAUCUGCUCCUCUUAAAUGCAUUAGCUGGAUCUCAGUAUAUGACUUGGUUCCUACUCGGCGUGAUAAGUAAAAAGCUCGCUGAGGACAUUUUGCUUUUAUUUAGCAAAGUGGCCAGGUGUAAUGCAGAUGAACCGCUUCUAAUGGUCCAUUAGCUUGGACAAGACUUUGUUUUUACAAGUCUUCUACUUUAUGAUCUGAUCUCAAAUCAGGUAGACGCCAGUCCCUG